AUAUGGUCUAAAACAUUUGCUAAUCUCGGAGUAUAUUUGAACACGAAAUUACUGGAUCUAGUUGUUAUCUGUUGAAUAUCAUUAGCGAAAGCGAAGGCCACCUCUUGAUGGAUUUCUGAGCAAGAUAAAAGGACGGUCCCGUUAGUGUUUUUGGCCACAAUACCCGAAGCUGAUUGGUGGUGAUGCCCAUCGUGCGCAUCGUCAAAAUUGAUUUUAACGAUAUCACUAGCAUUUCUAUCUCUCCAAAUGUCCCAUAGUGCACAACAGAAUAGUCGACAGUGGUAAGGGGGUAAUGAUCAAAAACCCAGGUAAGCCAUUGUAUAAAAUCCAUAUUAGUAGCUAUUAAAAUAUUUGGGAAUGAUAAUGCUGUCCAGACUUCAACUAAAAGAAGGCAUUUGCGGAAUAGAUGAUCACUUGUUUCAGCUCCUCCUCUACACCGGGGACAAAUUGUGUUAUUAACUAGCUUCCUAUGCUGCAUGUUAACUAGUGUAGGCAAGUAGUUCCAUGAUAUCCUCCAGAUUGUGAUUUUGAUUUUUGUAGGGAGAUUUUCGAGCCAUAGUUAUUUGUAAAAGUUCCUAUAGUCGAUUUGUAAAGCAUAAGCUCUAGGAUUAUAACCAUAAUUUUGUAAUAGUUUGUAGGCGCUACGAAACGAAAAUUUUCCCGAAGAUUCACCACUCCAUACAAGAAAAUCAUCGUGGGGUUCUUGUGCCAACGGGAUACAAAGAAUCUUUUCAGCAUCUCCCUCCAAAAAGGUAUUAGCCCAAUACAAUCUUUGAACCCAUGCCCCAUUCAUCCACAUCCAAAGUAGAAAGUCCGCAAAUUCUCAUAUCUAAAGGAAAUCCACAAUUUCCGUUGAGUAUCAUUUGAGACUAAGAUAC